AGCAGGUGAUCCAUUCCCAUUCGAUUUCAAUUCCCUUUCUCUAUAAAAUUUCACACGAUUUCAAAUCCCAAAUGCUACGAUUCAGCGUAGAGAAAUUUACUAAAUCGUUUGCCGUUAAUUAGGCUUGUAACUCAAUUCAGUUUCAGUUCAGAGAAAACGAAAAUGGCGAAGGCACGGGGAAAUCGGCACCAAGGCAAGAGAUCGUCUACGGUAGUUUUGGUGCUCUCGAUGCUAUUAAUGCUCUCAGUCGUUCUAUUGAUGCUUCUCGGUCUAGGAAUUCUCUCUCUCCCCAUUGGCUCCGAUGAGGGAUUGUCAGCGAUCGGAGAUCAUAUCAAAUUGAAACGCUUAAAAAUAGACGUAAAAAACGAAGGGAAUGGAUUGGGGGAAAGAACGGAACAGUGGACUGAGAUCCUUUCAUGGGAACCUAGGGCUUUCUUGUACCAUAACUUUUUGUCUAAGGAAGAAUGCGAGUAUCUGAUAAAUCUUGCUCGACCCCACAUGGUAAAAUCAACAGUGGUUGAUAGCAAGACUGGCAAGAGUAAAGAUAGCAGGGUUCGAACAAGUUCUGGAACGUUCUUGAGGAGAGGUCGGGAUAAAGUUAUCAGAAAUAUUGAAAAAAGAAUAGCAGACUACACUUUUAUUCCCGCAGAGCAUGGAGAAGGACUACAAAUUUUGCACUAUGAAGUGGGGCAAAAGUACGAGCCUCACUACGACUACUUUCUUGAUGAAUUUAACACAAAAAAUGGAGGUCAACGCAUAGCUACAGUUCUUAUGUAUUUGUCAGAUGUUGAAGAAGGCGGUGAGACAAUUUUCCCUGCCGCCAAGGGAAACUUUAGCUCUUCUUUAGGUUUGUCCGAGUGUGGCAAGAAAGGCCUGGCUGUGAAACCGAAGAUGGGCGACGCACUACUUUUCUGGAGUAUGUGCCCUGAUGCUUCUUUAGAUCCAUCAAGCUUGCAUGGAGGCUGUCCUGUUAUCAAAGGGAAUAAGUGGUCAUCUACAAAGUGGAUGCAUGUUGGUGAAUACAGAGUGUAGUGAAUCUCUGAGACAGGAAAAUGGUAGUCUUUGUUGAAGAACUACAUGGUGGUUCAGAAUUUUGUCCUAUCACCUUGGGGUCCAGUGUCGAAUGAUGAAUGGGUGGGAUAAUAUCGCCUCAUUUUCUAUCUUCCCUGUCACAUCUCAAGUUUCGCCACCACACAGGCGAUGUCAUUUGAUUCAUCACCUCAAGUAAUUCUGGAGAAACGUGUUGCAGGAGACGAGAUUUGGAGGAUUCUUCUCUGAAGAAAAUGGCCUGACUGCUACAGUGCGUACUGAAGAUUAGCAUUCUUACCUAUCCUUCACACGAGAAAUUUCUGAGGUUGAAUGUGUAUGUUAGAUGCGCGGCACCAUACAGCAUGCUUGAUUAAAAUGAUAACUGGAUAUAUUAUAUAAUAGAGGACUCGCUUUUUGCAACUAUGUAAAACAUCAUAUUCUAUGCCGUACCAGCUUUUCCUUGGGCUGGAAACAUCUUUGAUGCCAUGUUAUGUUUUUCA